UUUUCUCUCCUGCCCGUGUUCUUCCCGCCGCCUGACCUGGCCCGCCCGCCUUUCCAGUCUGGCCGGGCGGGGGCCUGAAGCACGGCGGCUCGGGCCGUGGGACCGUGUUCACACCCUUUCCAGAAAUUCUUGGCUGGUAACCGCGAAACCGACUGGAGCAGGAGCUGGGAGAACUGGAGAAAACUGCUCUAAUCUCACUUGACUCCAGCUAGGAGCUGAUGCUGCAUCGUAAUAACAUUUGCAGAGCGCUUUCACAGCUUCUAUGGAAGUCCCUAUCCCUGGGUUCUUUAAAGACUUGAUGUAUUCAGAGCCUCAAGAAAGUCUCCACCAGGGUUAAUCCAUUGCAGGCACGCUUCACCCUCAGCCUCAUCUCUCCUUGCUAGGGGUGGUGCCAAGGCCUAGAAAAUUCCAAGUCUGAGGGUCACUUAACCAUUCUUCAAAGAUUGGCUUAGGCCCAGCCUCACAACACCCCACCUCCCAGAUGGAUUCAUCUCCCUGAAAUCCUCACCUUCUUGAAGUUGACACUGGACCGUUCACCUGAUUAGCGCUCCCAAAUGGAUCAUCAACCCUUAGU
rnacentral:lncRNA from 1 species